AGCUUUAAGUAAUUGUGUCUUAAACUUUAUGAAAUAGUAAAUAUUGGCAUUCGCAUUGCGGUCAAAUCUGAAAAUAAAGUUACUCCUUUCCCUUCCCUUUUUGAGGCGAUUAUUUCCUCUUGAUCUUUUUUUUUUUUCCUUUUUCUGGUGAGCCCAUCCUUCUAUUUCAUUGUCGCGGGGAAGUCGUUAAACCUGUAAUCUCCUUUUUGGCAUUUAUAUGUCCAAGAUUUAGAGGCCAUUUUAGGCAAAUAUAACUUGGAUAUGCAAGCCAAGAAAGGAUGACGAUAGGAAACAGUCUGGAAAAUGCAUGUGUCACUCAAUUUCAGAGAAUGCACCGGCAUGAAAUUUCUGGCACAACGACUGAGAAGCAGCUUCUAUUCUUGAUAGAUCCUACAGCAACACAACAAAUCCUAUUCAACUUUGAUGAAAAAAGAAAAUGCUUCAAAGCCAAUGUGACAUCUUCAUCAAGAGGUCUUUACCUUUCCUUCAAAUGUAAUU
rnacentral:lncRNA from 1 species